rnacentral:rRNA from 1 species
AUGAACUUAGCUUGCUAAGUUUGAUGGCGACCGGCGCACGGGUGAGUAACGCGUAUCCAACCUUCCCCUUACGUAGGGCGAUAGCCCGGCGAAAGUCGGAUUAAUACCCUACUGUUUUCCCGCGAGGGCAUUCGUGCGGGAACAAAGAUUCAUCGCUAAGGGAUGGGGAUGCGUCUGAUUAGGCAGCAGGCGGGUAACGGCCCACCUGGCCGACGAUCAGUAGGGUUCGUGAGAGGAAGGUCCCCACAUUGGUACUGAGACACGGACCAAACUCCUACGGGAGGCAGCAGUGAGGAAUAUUGGUCAAUGGGCGCGAGCCUGAACCAGCCAAGUAGCGUGCAGGAAGACGGCCCUACGGGUUGUAAACUGCUUUUGCAGGGGAAUAAAGUGAGGCACGUGUGCCUUUUGUAUGUACCCUGAGAAUAAGGACCGGCUAAUUCCGUGCC